CAAAAUUUAGACCUUUUGCAUUUCAUACCAUGCAUUAGUGAUCUAAAUUAGUUAUUUCAAUUUAAGGGCAACGUAGUAAAUUCCUUGAUUUUAUACUGUGUCAAGGUGGUGUGCCCUUCGACAAAGGCAAGGAAAUUACGCUUGGGGAUCAUUAAGCUGAGUACACCCGAAAUCUGAACUUUUGAAACCUGUCGGGUUAGCCUGUAGAUAGCAGACAUCGUCGAGAACUAUAGUUGGCCAUACUACUUCAAAAACUAUAGGUUUACUAUCUUUACUACUUUUGUUCAUUUGUGGGCCCACGUAGCACUGUAAAUUAAAUUUCAUACUUUGGUUU